AUAAAUAGGCCUUUCAAGAUCCCAUAGAAAUGAAUGGAGAGUGGCCGAAUUUCACUCUAGAGGACUGGGGCGAUCUCUAACUUCAUUCUUUGAUAAAUAAACCCCAUGGAGUUGCUGGUACCCAGCAUUGCGUGCGAUAGCCCUUCUAUAACGUGCUCCGUGUAAUUGUUUUUCCACCUGAGAGUUGGCUGCACUGUGGCGCUGCUACCAACAGAGGGAGCCUUCUUCCCUUCUAAGGGAUCCCGUGAAUGUGUGACUUUCGAACCGGCCAGGGAGUGGGAGUGAAGAUGGAUCAAUCGUGGAAGUAACUGCACUGCCUGUUACUCUCUCUUCACCCCCUCCCUCUCUAUCAGAGAUAGGGAUGUGAGAGUGUCUGUCCGUCUGUGUGUAUUGCACCCUGAAUCCCUUGCCCUUCUCUGCAUAACCAUUACUGUGGAUUUUGCUAUUAUUAGAGUCUGGCACAGUGCAUUGGUCCCAUGCUGGCAGCUUUUGGGCUAUGCAUGUACCCAGCAAUAACUGUGUGCUGCCUGCCAGUCACCUUGCACCUCCUGAUUGCUCCACACUGUUGGCUUUAGCCCAUCAGCACUGGGACAGGCAUAUGGGCACUAGCCCUGGGCACAGAAGUGACAGCUCAGUGCCUGCUCCGACUCAGUAGCUCUGGAUUUGUGCAAAACCCUGUCUGAUACCCCCUGGCCAGCCAAGCCAGCAACUAUCUCCCUGUGAAUCUCAUUGCGCCCAUCACUGCUUCUUCUGCGACUGACUGCACCUUGCUCUCGCUCUCCACUGAAGAUGGGCAGCUGUCGGGAAAGUUACGGGAAAUAGAAUCAGUCACAUGAAUACCAGGAAAUAGAGUGCUCCAUGCAAGCAUUAAAACAAGGAGAUCUGCCAGGCCUUCUCCAAUUGAUAUCCCAGUCUGUCUUUCAAACCACUGCCCGGCUACUAGGCUAAAUUGGUCCCUAGCAUCCUUAAAGCUGCUGAAAUUCCAGAUUGGAGAGUUGCUAAGCAAAAAGCUAAAUAAUUCCAAAGCAAAUAACAAAAAGAAUUGCAUUUUUUGAUUGCAUUUUGUCUCAGAAUAUCACCAUCUACAUCAUUUUAAAAGUUAAUUUAAAGGUGAACUACCCCUUUAAUCAGGCGCUUUAGUGAUAUUUUAUAUCACAAAUAAUUUCCAUCACUUUCCAAAAAGGUUGAAGUUGUAUAUCAGUAUAGGUUAUUUGGGUAUCUGCCAAGCUGUGUACAAUUCAGUUUUUCCAUUCUGCCAGGAUAGACACGCAAGAUCCUUAAUAUAUGUUUCAUGUUGAGACAAUAUGUGGUUGUGGUGCUUAAUUCUGCAUACUGUAGGAAGCAUUAUUUUAAAUUCUGACACACCUGCUAAUCUUAUAUCAUUUGUAGGGAAACUUUAAUGCCAAACUAUGUGCUUUUGAUUUCAUAUCAUUAGACAAGAUUGUGACGUAUGAUACCGACUGUAAAUUCCACUAGACCAGGACAAUUAGUCACAUAUGUUCAUUUUUAUAUUGGUAAAUACUGAUACGGGUGAAUUCCUACAGUCAUAUGCAGUACUUCUAUGUAUAUGCAAGUUAUUUAGGAUAAUGUGUCACAACUGCAUUUGAAUGCAUUUAUUUUCAGUUUCCCCCGGCCCUCUGGUAGUGAUGAUAAGAAGUGAAUGGUUUCUGUCAUUUGACACAGUGCAGCCCUAAUAACUGGCUUAGUGAGAGUUCAAAUCUAUUUAUAAUGGUCAGAGAAGGAAUUUGGCUCCCCUUCACCAACACCAAUGUGGCUAAAUUAGCUGCCUGCCUUAAUCACUAUACUGUUAACUGGGAGACUUAAAAACCAAAUGAGACUUAUUUAUGAACCGAGAGUAAAGUGCAAGAACUUCUCAGCAACCUAUUUGGGCCUGCCCAUUCUGGAACCCUGGUGGACUGUGCAGGAGUAUUUUAUGGCAUUUUCCUAUUAAGCCAGUGGAGGCUUCUUGAGUCUGGUUUGGUGAAUAGUCUUGAAAAGUAUUCACUUCAGCUGUUGUCUCCUCUGUUUCCACCUUCCACCUCAUUAUGGAAAUCUGUAAAUAAUCCAAUGAUUAUCAUUACUAUUUAUGUCUGGGAUCGAUAAAAAAGCCUGCCCUGACCCCAUCUUCUUUGUGUUCUGGAUGUUGCUGCUUGUUAACUAUGAGCUACUACUUAUGAGCUUGUCCAUGUAUGCAGACCAUGCUAUACAUACUUGUGUACAGAUACUUUUCCCUCUGGCAGUGCUGGGCAUAAAGCUGAGGGUGCUCAAUGCAAGCCCCUCCGACACGUGUGCAACCUGUGCACCAAACCAAGUGAGUUUGCACCAAACCUAUGAGUGAGACAGCAGCACAUUUGAUGUGGGGAGAUUCAGUAUGCCAGACUUACAGAAGAGCCACACUAGGGGAUGGUAGGCAGAAGAGCCAUCAUUGUGCUCUAGGCCUUUUCUGCCUACCUCUAGUCCCAGCCCUGUCUCUUGGCUUAUGCUUAAGGCACAAAGCCAUCAUUGUCAUUGCUUGAACCAGUUGGAAUCACAGGACUCUGCUAAUGAGGUUUGUAUAUGCUUUGAUCACAAUUUGCCAUGUUCUGCCUGAUUGGGGGUGAAUCCUCUGAAUUAUAAACAGAAGCCAUUUCUAACAACAAUAUACACCCUGGUCUCAGCAUUAAUAAUCAUAACGAUAAUAAUAAUGACUUAAAAACUGAAUUAAGGUCAUAGGACACAGCUCUAUUGUCUGCAACAAUAACAUUACUAUUACUCAUCAGUGAGCCCUUGUCUACUUAUUACUCAAGGAAAAUCACCAGCAUAGUGCAACUGUCAGGCCUCCCUGUCCAGAGUCCAGAUGUGAGGAGAACGAAGUCCAGCAGGAGUGUCACCAGCUGUAGCAGACAAGUAAUCAGAGGGAGUAGGCAGAAGAAUAGUCGGAAGGCAGGCCGUGGUCGGUGCAGGCGGAGUUCAGUCGUAAUCGGAAAGCAAACCGAGGUCAGAUGCAGGCAGAGUUCAGUCGUAACGGAUAAGCAGGCAGGGGUCAAAUGCAGGCGGAGUUCAGUCGAAAGUCGAUAUCCAAAGCCAGAGUCAAAACCAGAAUCAAGAAGUCAGGGUUCACAAGUUCAGGAGCAGGUUAAAUUAUCAACAAGCACAGAGCCUUUCCCUGAGCGUCCUUUUAAAGGGGUACUUUGGCGCCAAACGUAAUGACGCCUGCGUCCCGCGUCAUCACACCGCGUCCGUUUCGGCGUGCGACAUGACGAACGCGCGUUUGCGCCGGCGUUCGUCUUGGCAUGCGCGUUCAUGCGCGCUGAGUCCUCACAGCAACAAUGGGCAGGGGGGAUAUUACGCCAAGUGGAACACCAGUGUAAAUAAAUAUUGAACCGUUGGCAAACUGCAAACCAAAUUACAACGUGGAAUUCAUUCACAUCAAGGCCUUUUCAUCUUUUGGACCUCUAUAAUUAUUUUAAUAUCCCCAAAUAGAAUGAACUUAUUUUUUUCUUUGUAUUAAAACACAUGACUGAAAAAUAUGUACUUAAAAUAUUUCCAUACACAUUCACAAUGCACAAGGGCUUCAUUAUCUCUUCUAAGAUAACCCUGCUACUUUCACUGACAGGAGAGUUAUUUUAUGUUUUCAAUUAUAUCAUGUAACAGGUGGUAAAAUGUAUCAUUUGUAGCAGAAGGUGUGGAUUAAUUGUAAAUCUGGGUAAUUAAAAGAGAUUAACAUGAGGGUGUUUGCUAUUUUAUGUGCUAUGAAGACAGAUUGCUUGAGAGGCCAGUCCUGGGUAUAUCAUAUAUGCAAAAGGCACUGUUAAUUUUGAAGUGAGGGAAUUAUAUUGCAAAUGUUGUGGUUGAUGAUGCAGCCACUACUCCCAAAUUAUGCCCCUAUUUCUUGCAUAGCUACCCUCUAUACCCCUACCUAAAAACCAUCCAAUAAACCAUCCAAUAGAUGUCCUGCUUUAUCCUGGAGAUAGGGCAAUGGCUCAGAGUUAUCAGAGAUCCCAAAUUGAUGACAGAUCAAUGUAUAAUGUUGUACAAGUACUCAAUUUCCCAGUUACAUGUAUAAUGAGUAAAGAAGGCUGCAUCAAACAGCAAACUAUAUGAAAGUGUGUUGAGAGACCAUCACAGAUACUGACUCAAAACGCUUUUCCUUGGUAUGGCCACUUAGAAGGUUGUGAACUUAUACAAGACUGGUUAAUAGUCCAGGAAUUAUCAAGCUUCUUGAUAAGUUAGGCUGAAAAAGCUCAAAUCAACCCUUGAGAGAACCCUUUCUUUUUAAAAGAGCGGUGGGCGGAAAAUAGCAUCUAAUAUCUUUCAGAAGCAGAACAUUGUCUUUGAGUAAUUGUGCAAUUGCAAUCAUUGCCUUUUGGUUUUGCCCUUAUAAUUCUAUCUCAGUCUGCACUACUGAAUAAAAAAUGUGCAAAAGAAGCUGCAUGGGGUCUGCAAGAUGGGCAUUUACUGGAGAAAUCCAUUUCUAACCUUUUUAUUGUAUAACUGCAGAUUUCCCAUGUUUUUCAUAUUAUUCAUUUUUCUCUCUCAGUAAACUACUUACCUGGGUGUUUUAUUUUAUUUUAUU